rnacentral:misc_RNA from 1 species
AGACACCCCGAACGACGGCAUCUUGAACUUGGGCAUUUUGAACUUGCUGUCUUUGGCAGUCACAUCCUUUUCAGCCAGGGACAGGUCCCCCUCCAGCCGCGCACCAUCCAGCUUGGCUCUCGGGGCCUGGACGUCCACCUCCACGCUGGGCAGAGACACCUCCACAUCAGGGACUGUCACUUCCGCCUUGGGGACUUUUAGGUCCAGCUUGGGGCCCUUGAUGUCCACCUGGGGGCCCUUGAGGUCCACUUUGGGCAUCUUCAAACUGGGCAUCUCCACCUUGGGCAGGUGCUCUUUGAGGCCGGCUCCCUCGGGCACCUGGCCCU